rnacentral:rRNA from 1 species
CGAACGCUGGCGGCGUGCCUAAUACAUGCAAGUCGAGCGCGGGAAGCGGACAAUCACCCGUUCGGGGUGUGCGUCCGUGGAACGAGCGGCGGAUGGGUGAGUAUCACGUGGGCAACCUGCCUGUAAGAUUGGGAUAACUCGCGGAAACGUGAGCUAAUACCGAAUGAAGUCUUUCACCGCCUGGUGAAAGGAUGAAAGAUGGCUCUUGAGCUAUCACUUACAGAUGGGCCCGCGGCGCAUUAGCUAGUUGGUGGGGUAAAGGCCUACCAAGGCGACGAUGCGUAGCCGACCUGAGAGGGUGAUCGGCCACACUGGGACUGAGACACGGCCCAGACUCCUACGGGAGGCAGCAGUAGGGAAUCUUCCGCAAUGGACGGAAGUCUGACGGAGCAACGCCGCGUGAGUGAUGAAGGUCUUCGGAUCGUAAAACUCUGUUGUCAGGGAAGAACAAGUUGUGUUCUAACAGGACAUGACCUUGACGGUACCUGACCAGAAAGCCCCGGCUAACUACGUGCCAGCAGCCGC